rnacentral:rRNA from 1 species
ACUGGAGGCCCGAACCCACUUAUGUUGAAAAAUGAGGGGAUGAGCUGUGGAUCGGAGUGAAAGGCUAAUCAAGCCCGGAGAUAGCUGGUUCUCCUCGAAAGCUAUUUAGGUAGCGCCUCGUGUAUCACUUCUGGGGGUAGAGCACUGUUAUGGCUAGGGGGUCAUCCCGACUUACCAAACCAUGGCAAACUCCGAAUACCAGAAAGUGCAAUCACGGGAGACACACGGCGGGUGCUAACGUCCGUCGUGGAAAGGGAAACAACCCAGACCGCCAGCUAAGGUCCCAAAAUUGUAGCUCAGUGGGAAACGAUGUGGGAAGGCCCAGACAGCCAGGAGGUUGGCUUAGAAGCAGCCAUCCUUUAAAGAAAGCGUAAUAGCUCACUGGUCGAGUCGGCCUGCGCGGAAGAUUUAACGGGGCUUAAGCUACAUACCGAAGCUGCGGAUGCGUACUUUGUACGUAUGGUAGAGGAGCGUUCUGUAAGCCGUUGAAGGUGUGCUGUAAGGCAUGCUGGAGGUAUCAGAAGUGCGAAUGCUGACAUGAGUAACGAUAAAGGGGGUGAGAUGCCCCCUCGCCGAAAGCCCAAGGUUUCCUGCGCAAUGCUAAUCAGCGCAGGGUUAGUCGGCCCCUAAGGCGAGGCAGAAAUGCGUAGUCGAUGGGAAUCAGGCUAAUAUUCCUGAACUGCUCGUAACUGCGACGGAGGGACGGAGAAGGCUAAACCAGAACACAGAUGGUUUUGUGUAUCUAAGUGCGUAGGCAGAUUUCUUAGGUAAAUCCGGGGAAUCAAUGCUGAAACACGAAUGCGAGGGUCCUACGGGACCUGAGUGGUUGAUGCCCUGCUUCCAGGAAAAGCUCCUAAGCUUCAGGUUACGAGUAACCGUACUCUAAACCGACACAGGUGGGCAGGAUGAGUAUUCCAAGGCGCUUGAGAGAACUCUGGUGAAGGAACUAGGCAAAAUGGUACCGUAACUUCGGGAGAAGGUACACCUCUGGCGGUUCACGCUGCUGGGGGUCACAGUGAAAAGGUGGCUGCAACUGUUUACUAAAAACAUAGCACUCUGCAAACUCGAAAGAGGAAGUAUAGGGUGUGACGCCUGCCCGGUGCCGGAAGGUUAAUUGAUGGGGUUAUCUUCGGAGAAGCUCUUGAUCGAAGCCCCGGUAAACGGCGGCCGUAACUAUAACGGUCCUAAGGUAGCGAAAUUCCUUGUCGGGUAAGUUCCGACCUGCACGAAUGGCGUAACGAUGGCCACACUGUCUCCACCCGAGACUCAGUGAAAUUGAAAUUGCGGUUAAGAUGCCGUAUACCCGCGGCUAGACGGAAAGACCCCGUGCACCUUUACUACAGCUUCACACGGGACUUUGAACCUACUUGUGUAGGAUAGGUGGGAGGCUUUGAAGCGGUCACGCCAGUGAUCGUGGAGCCAACCUUGAAAUACCACCCUGGUAUGUUUGAAGUUCUAACCCAGACGCAACAACGUCGGGGACAGUGUGUGGUGGGUAGUUUGACUGGGGCGGUCUCCUCCCAAAGAGUAACGG